rnacentral:rRNA from 1 species
UUCUGCCCUAUGAAUUUUAAAUGGCUGCAGUACCCUGACUGUGCAAAGGUAGCAUAAUAAUUAGUCAUUUAAUUGUUGACUUGUAUGAAUGAAUACAUGAGAUAUAAAUUUUAUUAGUUUUAAUAUUUAAAUUUUAUUUUUAGGUAAAAAAGCUUAAUUAAUUUUUAGGGACGAUAAGACCCUAUAGAACUUUACAAAUUUAUUAAAUUAAUUAGAUUUAGAAGUCUAUUUUAUUUUUUUUAUUAAAAUUUGUUUGGUUGGGGUGACAGGUAAAUUUUACUUUACUUUAUUUAAUCAUUAAAUUUAUGUUUUUAUUGAUCCAUUGUUUAGACAAAAAGAAAAAGUUACCUUAGGGAUAACAGCGUAAUUUUAGUGGGGAGUUCUUAUUUAUACUAAAGUUUGCGACCUCGAUGUUGAAUUAAGAUUAGUUUAGGGGGUAG